AUCCAGCUGACCAGCCCCAAAAAGGAUGAAACGCGCUUCCUGGAU
rnacentral:hammerhead_ribozyme from 1 species